GGAUUUAGGAAUCAAGCCCAGCCUCUCUUUUGCCGACCCAAAGGCCCUGAGAAAUGAUGGCUCAGCCAAAGUGACAUUUAUCGACCUUUUAAAAAGAAACAAAACAAAAUGGGGAAUGUUUUAGAGAUGCACGCAGUUUCGACGGCAGAGAAUGUGAGCCUCUGUGUCGGCGUGUUGAAAUGAUUGUAACAUUCGUUUGCACUUGUGUGGCCAUUUUCUUCGAUGGGCGGAUUUGGACCUGUCCGCCAUUUUUCUCUGCCCUCUUCCAACUGUGUCUAAUAGAGUGUGUACGAAUGCCUCGGACUCGCCAUUAAUGCCAACCGAUUGAAUUUUUCCCCCACAUUUUCGUGCGUUUGUGCUCGGACAGCUCAAAGCGAGUGCUAGUUUGCCACCCAAAACUAUCAUCACACACUCAUCAUCUUGUUGGGGCAAAACAAAUUCUAAAGUCAUCCGUCUCUUUCAAUCUUUUCCAGCCAAAUACACCCAUCAACCGUCGCCCACUCUCCACUCACACACACAACUAUACAAGAAGCGCUGCUGCGAGAAACGUAUCCGACCACCGGGAAUCCACGACAACUUCACGCAAAUGGAGGAAACGUUCGUCACCAACAGAGCGACAGACCUCCCUCGAAGCCUGCAGGAAUAGACGAUGGAACAGCCAGUUGGACUCGACGUCAUCUAGAGGUCGUUGUCGAAACCACUGCACGGAAACCAGAACCCCCCGCUGAAAUUCGAAUCGUGUCUGAACGACACACGUACCCGGAAGCUCCCGGAAGAAUUGACUCUCUCCGUUAUGGAAAUGAAAUUGAAGGUUGUGUGCCUUUGUCAGCAUUAAUUAUAUUGCAAAUUUUUGGCUUUUGUGCUACUAUUUUUAGACAACGAUUGAGAGUAAAUUUUGGUUUCUUUACAAGUAAAUUCAUCCCAAUAGUGUUUCAGUGCAUGCCAUAACGGCUGGCUGUGGUCAAUCCUUUUAAAACCACUUGAAAAACGAACAUUUCAAUUCAAUAAAUGAUCGUGUAAUUUC